GUUACGAUGCCAGAGUGGUCUAUUGGGCAAGUUUAAAGAACUUGAUUUCGUCGGUUCAAAUCCGACUCGUAGCA
rnacentral:tRNA from 2 species